rnacentral:lncRNA from 1 species
GGAAAUACGUGCCUUCUUCCUCACCACACUUCCAGCAUUUUGUAUCUCCUACUUUUAUUUAUCAGGCCUAAUUUUUUUGGUGUUAUAUGCCACCUAUAUAGCAUCUUCAUCCAAUUUUCUUUUAAGUCAAAUGAGUAUGUUAAUUUUAAUUUUCUGUUCCAGCCUGCCUCCCAUUCGUCCAUGUGUAUCACUCUGCCUAAGUCUUUUGCCCAUUUGGUCAUAUUUUCUUUGACUAUCUCCGUCUCUGUAUCCCAUUCAAGUAAUACUUUGUAUAUUUUCGAUAUGAUUUUUCUAUUCAAUUCAAAAAUUCUGUCCCAUCUGUUAUUUUUUUCCAUGAAUCCCAAUAUUUUAUCUUUUUUGAAAGAUUCUUUUAGUUGUCCAAAUUGUAACCAAUUUAAAUUUGGGUAUUUUAUUUUUAUUUCUUGUUGUGUUCAUUACUUUUUGGAGGUGUGGUGCUAAUUCUUUUUUAAAUACCUUGUAAUAAAUUGCCGUUAGGCCAUCCGGCCCCGGCGCUUUUGAUCCAUCUAUUUUACUAAUUGUUUCUUCUAUUUCUUUUAUUGAAAUCUCCUUAUUUAGAAAUUCUCUUUCCUCUGAUGUUAUUCUUUCUAGUUUUAAUUUUCCCAGAUAAUUUGUGAUCCCUUCUUCUUUUAUAUUGUCAUUCUCAUAUAGUUUACUAUAAAAUUUAUGGAACUGAUUUAGUAUGUCCUUAUCUGUAUAGUAAUAUUUCUCCCCAAUUCUUAUUCUAUUAAUAAAAGCUGAUUCUCUUUUUUUCCUUAGCUUCCUUGAUAACCAACGCCCCGGUUUGUUUGCAUUUUCAAAGUAAUCCUGUUUUAAGUACUUUAGCUGUUUUGUUCUUUGUUCUAGUUCCAAAUAUUCUCUAUUCUUUUGUCUUAAUGUCAGUUCUUGCAAAAAUUUAUUAUUCUUAGGAUUCUUUUUUAGUUUAUUUUCCAUUUCAAUUAUUUUUUCAGUAGCUUGUUUUAAUUGUUCCUGAUUUUUCCUCUUUUUUUGAAUAUUUUGUUGUAGGAAGUAUCCUCUCAUAGUUACUUUACUGGCUUCCCAGACUAUUAUUGGUGAAGUUUCCUGGUUAUUAUUAAUCAGAAAAAAUUCUUCUAUUAAUUUCCUAUUUUUUUCUAUAUCCUCUUUCCUUUUUAAUAAAUUUUCAUCUAAUCUCCAUUUCCAUCUUCCUCUUUUUUGAUUCAAUACUAUCUCAAUUGGGCUAUGGUCUGAGUCUAGCAUGGGGAGGAUCUUUGACUUUGUGACUUUGGAUGCAAGUGAGCUUGAUAUCCAAAUCAUAUCGAUCCGGGACCAACUUUUAUGUCUGGCUGAGAAAAAUGUAUAAUCCUUGACUUUUU